rnacentral:tRNA from 1 species
ACUUUUUUAGUAUAAUUAAUAUAUUUGACUUCCAAUCAAAAGAUCUUAUCUUAAGAAAAAGUA